UCGAGGAUCUUCGGCAAUGUGCGCAAGCACGACCGAGCGACGCCGCGUGGGCGACGAAGGCCUUCGGGUUGUAAAGCCCUGUCGAGGGGGAGAAAAGCCGCAAGGCUUGAUCCAUCCCUGGAGGAAGCACGGGCUAAGUUCGUGCCAGCAGCCGCGGUAAGACGAACCGUGCGAACGUUGUUCGGAAUCACUGGGCUUAAAGGGCGCGUAGGCGGGCUGCCGCGUCUGGGGUGAAAUCCUCCGGCUCAACCGGGGAAGGGCCUCGGGUACGGGCGGCCUCGAGGGGGGUAGGGGCGUGCGGAACUGUGGGUGGAGCGGUGAAAUGCGUUGAUAUCCACAGGAACUCCGGUGGCGAAGGCGGCACGCUGGACCCCUUCUGACGCUGAGGCGCGAAAGCCAGGGGAGCGAACG
rnacentral:rRNA from 1 species